rnacentral:lncRNA from 1 species
AUGCAUAGGAGUAGGAACCGAAUGCUGAGAUGACCUAGAAUAUGAGGGUCGUGCUAUCGCCUCAGCAAACCAACCCUCAGAUAUAUGAAUACCUAUCGGUCGUCUAUAACCAAAUUCAAAACAAAAAAUCCUCUUUAAAGUCCCUACACUUAACCAAAUUCAAGUAAUUAAGUCACCAACCAAACCACAUUAGAAAACAAAAAAAAUCCUCUUUAAACUCCCUACACUUAACCAUUUUCAAGUGACUAAGUCACCAACAAAACUACAUUCAAAACAAAAAAAUAUCAUUUAAAUUUCCUACACUUAACCUUUUUCAAGUGACUAAGUCAACAACCAAACCACAUUCAAAACAAAAA